CAGCCGCCGCGGGAAUACAGAGGGUGCGAGCGUUAAUCGGAUUUACUGGGCGUAAAGCGUGCGUAGGCGGCUUCUUAAGUCAGAUGUGAAAUCCCUGAGCUUAACUUAGGAAUUGCAUUCGAUACUGGGAAGCUAGAGUAUGGGAGAGGAUGGUAGAAUUCCAGGUGUAGCGGUGAAAUGCGUAGAGAUCUGGAGGAAUACCGAUGGCGAAGGCAGCCAUCUGGCCUAAUACUGACGCUGAGGUACGAAAGCAUGGGGAGCAAACAGGAUUAGAUACCCCUGUAGUCCCUGUCUCUUAUAA
rnacentral:rRNA from 1 species